GAUCUAAAUAAGCAAGUGAAAGCUAUAAAUAUUUUCGAAUUUUAAACAAAUUUAUUAGUACUUAUAUUAAGAUUUUACAUUACAAAUUAUCUGCAAAAUGUUAUCAAUGGAGCGUAUUUUCGAAUUUCUACAAAAAUGUUUCUUGGUCGGUGAAGAUGUGUGCAGGGUGUGUUAUAAAAACAAAGUCUACCGCAUGCUAGCUAAGGGGUUUCUUCUAUUUUGCAUUGGCGCUUGUUUGGUAAAGGAUAUGGAAGACCACUUUAUGUGGCCUUUGAUCUAGGAGUGGUCAAGUUUCGGAUAUUAUUUAGCUUAUCCAGCGACUAUACGUUUUGGUUAAUACAAAUUUUUAGUGCAAAAUGUGCAACCAUGUGUAAACAAAACCAAUAAAUCGAUUAUAAUGCCCACCCAA